CAGUCGAGCGAGCGGAACUAACAGAUUUACUUCGGUAAUGACGUUAGGAAAGCGAGCGGCGGAUGGGUGAGUAACACGUGGGGAACCUGCCCCAUAGUCUGGGAUACCACUUGGAAACAGGUGCUAAUACCGGAUAAGAAAGCAGAUCGCAUGAUCAGCUUUUAAAAGGCGGCGUAAGCUGUCGCUAUGGGAUGGCCCCGCGGUGCAUUAGCUAGUUGGUAAGGUAAAGGCUUACCAAGGCGAUGAUGCAUAGCCGAGUUGAGAGACUGAUCGGCCACAUUGGGACUGAGACACGGCCCAAACUCCUACGGGAGGCAGCAGUAGGGAAUCUUCCACAAUGGACGCAAGUCUGAUGGAGCAACGCCGCGUGAGUGAAGAAGGUUUUCGGAUCGUAAAGCUCUGUUGUUGGUGAAGAAGGAUAGAGGUAGUAACUGGCCUUUAUUUGACGGUAAUCAACCAGAAAGUCACGGCUAACUACGUGCCAGCAGCCGCGGUAAUACGUAGGUGGCAAGCGUUGUCCGGAUUUAUUGGGCGUAAAGCGAGCGCAGGCGGAAGAAUAAGUCUGAUGUGAAAGCCCUCGGCUUAACCGAGGAACUGCAUCGGAAACUGUUUUUCUUGAGUGCAGAAGAGGAGAGUGGAACUCCAUGUGUAGCGGUGGAAUGCGUAGAUAUAUGGAAGAACACCAGUGG
rnacentral:rRNA from 1 species